UUGGUGUUUUCACAAAGUCUGAAACUUUAUCUUGUGAGUGAAAACUGCCUUUGCUCGUCUCUUGGAUAAGUUGUGGGUUUAUUCAGCUGCUGAUAUUGUGGUCUUUCAACAUUAUUCAAAGGUUAUUGCAUCAUGGUCACAUGUUUUACAUGAAAGCAUCAGAAGGUCAACAAUUUCUUCAAGAGCUUUGACAAACAGACAACUCUGGCAACUGAAAGAGGGAAUACAAUUUAUGAGAUUAUGGUGCAAGUGAAGGCUGAUGCCUAUAGUGAAUCUUUAAGUUUGUUGUCUGAGGAUUUUAGAGAUCAAUUGUGUCAUUACACUGCAGAAUGCAGAUGUGUCUUGAGAAUGAAUACAAACUAGUGCUUCAGUAUUUUGUGUGCCUGCAGCUGCAUCUGUGUGUCUGCCCAGUGGUCUGUGUUUGAUGCCAUUGGUGUUCACAGAUGCUUAGGAUGUAUUUUUGGGCGGUUACUUGAUUUUCUUUACUUUAUAAAUUACAAAAUAGUUGCACAUUAUUAUAGUACUUGAAACUUUUGCAUCUGUCUAAAUGAUAAAGA